GACGAACGCUGGCGGCGUGCCUAAUACAUGCAAGUAGAACGCUGAAGCUUGGUGCUUGCACCGAGCGGAUGAGUUGCGAAAGGGUGAGUAACGCGUAGGUAACCUGCCUGGUAGCGGGGGAUAACUAUUGGAAACGAUAGCUAAUACCGCAUAACAGUAGAUAUCGCAUGAUAGCUACUUGAAAGGUGCAAAUGCACCACUACCCGAUGGACCUGCGUUGUAUUAGCUAGUUGGUGAGGUAACGGCUCACCAAGGCAACGAUACAUAGCCGACCUGAGAGGGUGAACGGCCACACUGGGACUGAGACACGGCCCAGACUCCUACGGGAGGCAGCAGUAGGGAAUCUUCGGCAAUGGACGGAAGUCUGACCGAGCAACGCCGCGUGAGGGAAGAAGGUUUUCGGAUCGUAAAGCUCUGUUGUAAGAGAAGAACGAGUGUGAGAGUGGAAAGUUCACACUGUGACGGUAUCUUACCAGAAAGGGACGGCUAACUACGUG
rnacentral:rRNA from 1 species